rnacentral:lncRNA from 1 species
AAUACAGACCUAACACAUCAAUUUCAGCCUUUUCUUGGCACCCAACGCAUGAAAAUAGAAUCCUAACUGCUUCUUACACAGGGAAGCUCAUAGACUAUUACGUCCAAGAGAGAAUAACCCUCAACUGGUCUUCCUCAACAUCAAGUUCUUUAAUGUGGACUCAUGGGAAGAAAACUCUAUACUACCUAGAUUCUCAGCAUCCAGUUUACUCUAACUUUGAAGACAUUUCUAUAUCCAUUAUGUCAAGAGCACAGAAGAAGUAUGGUCUUUAUGAAGAUAAUUUGGCUACAAAUGGAGAAGUUACUGGUGACAUGUCUCUGCGUAGAUCUGUGGAAUUGGUUGGAUGCC